rnacentral:rRNA from 1 species
UACGGGGGGGGUAAGCGUUGUUCGGAAUUACUGGGCGUAAAGGGCUCGUAGGCGGCCAACUAAGUCAGACGUGAAAUCCCUCAGCUUAACUGGUGAACUGCGUCUGAUACUGGAUGGCUUGGAUCCGGGAGAGGGAUGCGGAAUUCCAGGUGUAGCGGUGAAAUGCGUAGAUAUCUGGAGGAACACCGGUGGCGAAGGCGGCAUCCUGGACCGGUAUUGACGCUGAGGAGCGAAAGCCAGGGGAGCAAACGGG